rnacentral:piRNA from 1 species
UAACUUCGUAAAUUUCUUCGU